rnacentral:rRNA from 1 species
GAAACAUCUAAGUACCCCGAGGAAAAGAAAUCAACCGAGAUUCCCCCAGUAGCGGCGAGCGAACGGGGAGCAGCCCAGAGUCUGAAUCAGCUUGUGUGUUAGUGGAACGGUCUGGAAAGUCCGACGGUACAGGGUGAUAGUCCCGUACACCAAAAUGCACAGGUUGUGAACUCGAAGAGUAGGGCGGGACACGUGGUAUCCUGUCUGAAUAUGGGGGACCAUCCUCCAAGGCUAAAUACUCCUGACUGACCGAUAGUGAACCAGUACCGUGAGGGAAAGGCGAAAAAGACCCCGGCGAGGGGAGUGAAAAAGAACCUGAAACCGUGUACGUACAAGCAGUGGGAGCACCUUCGGGUGUGACUGCGUACCUUUUGUAUAAUGGGUCAGCGACUUAUAUUCUGUAGCAAGGUUAACCGUAUAGGGGAGCCGCAGGGAAACCGAGUCUUAA